rnacentral:rRNA from 1 species
UGGGACAAGCCCUGGAAACGGGGUCUAAUACCGGAUAACACUCCCUCUCUCAUGGGUGGGGGUUAAAAGCUCCGGCGGUGAAGGAUGAGCCCGCGGCCUAUCAGCUUGUUGGUGAGGUAAUGGCUCACCAAGGCGACGACGGGUAGCCGGCCUGAGAGGGCGACCGGCCACACUGGGACUGAGACACGGCCCAGACUCCUACGGGAGGCAGCAGUGGGGAAUAUUGCACAAUGGGCGAAAGCCUGAUGCAGCGACGCCGCGUGAGGGAUGACGGCCUUCGGGUUGUAAACCUCUUUCAGCAGGGAAGAAGCGAAAGUGACGGUACCUGCAGAAGAAGCGCCGGCUAACUACGUGCCAGCAGCCGCGGUAAUACGUAGGGCGCAAGCGUUGUCCGGAAUUAUUGGGCGUAAAGAGCUCGUAGGCGGCUUGUCACGUCGGGUGUGAAAGCCCGGGGCUUAACCCCGGGUCUGCAUUCGAUACGGGCUAGCUAGAGUGUGGUAGGGGAGAUCGGAAUUCCUGGUGUAGCGGUGAAAUGCGCAGAUAUCAGGAGGAACACCGGUGGCGAAGGCGGAUCUCUGGGCCAUUACUGACGCUGAGGAGCGAAAGCGUGGGGAGCGAACAGGAUUAGAUACCCUGGUAGUCCACGCCGUAAACGGUGGGAACUAGGUGUUGGCGACAUUCCACGUCGUCGGUGCCGCAGCUAACGCAUUAAGUUCCCCGCCUGG